AAUUUCUCAAAUCUUUAGAGAGCACCUCUUUCAGAGCAAAUGGAAUAUUUCUGCAAACAUUGUAUACCCUGAGCUGGGCUAAACGGCGUGUUCGCGUUCCCUGUUCUGUUCUCACAAGUUGUGUGACCUUGAGGGAGCUCCUCACCUUUGAAACACGUGCAAGAGAUAAUGUCUACCUUCAGGGCCAGGGGGUUUGUUUGUUUGGGCUUGUUUUUGUCAGGGCUGGCUGAAGGAGGCAACGUGUGGGCCCGCUGGGUUAUUUGCCACUUCCAGUAUUUGCUGAAUAGGGGUUUCUCAUUUCUGGAACACUUACGAGUUAUGGGGUGCAUACAUGGUCAUCACACCUGCUGUAAGGGAAGGCAGCUACAGCCCCCCACCACAGUAAGUUCUCCCCACUUGUCUUUCUGGAUUACUCCUGAAGCCCUCCUCAAUCGUUAAAUCAGCAUCACUCAGGAGUGAUCACCAAGGAAGAGCAGUGACUUGCCAAGGUGAGGCCGAGGCGCUCCCUCCUGGCUCCCCGCCCUCAGUGUUCCAAGCCAAAGUCUCGUCCAGGCCAAUGUUCCUCUGUCCCUAAUCCAAAUUCAAAGAGACAGAUUUCUCCCCAAAAGCAGAGGCCCUGGAUUGCCCCGCCUCCCAGGUCUGUGCCCUUUUCUUACUGUGCCCCCUAAAGUGGCCCAGCAGUCCUUUCUGGAACUGGGGGAGGGAGUCCCUGGGGCUGGGCUAUGGAGUCAGACAUGCACGGGGGCUGUGUCCCCCGUGUCACUUACGAGCUGGUCCACCCACGCAACGUGCCAGAGCGCUCGGGGUCUCAGUUUCGUUAUCCAUUAGACAGGGCCAAAAAUAGAAGGAAGCCUCGUCAUGCGUUGCUGUGAGGAUGGAGACAUUGCACAGGAUGUACUUAACCCAGACCUCGGCACGUAGGUGCUACGCAGACAAUAGAGCGCGCUUACGUAGGUCUGCUUCAUCACCCCAGGAGGGCCGCUCUGGGAGGCGGGCUCUGGUGCCGGAAGCUCAGAUCCAUGAUCUAUACUGUGUGAUCCUGGGAACAUCUGGAAAAUGAGGAUGAGGAAAUUGAGGAGGUCCAGAGCGCUGUUUGACUCAGAGCCCACUUCACCACCGUAACACCUCCUUCAUGAAUAAAAUACAAGAUACGUAGUCAGGAAACCUGAACUUGUCAUGUGCUCAUGGACUGUUCCCAGACAAGCCUUUCUUCCUCUCUGAGAUUCCAUCUUCCCAGCUCUAAAAUGAGAGCUACUUGACCUACUUUUUACUUCCCUGAUAGAACGGUUGCCAAGACCGAUUAAAAGCGAACCUGUGUUUGUGGGAGUGCUCUGUGAGGUGCUUAGUUCUCUGCAGUUAGAAGAUGGAAUUCUCAUCCACAAGCAAGGCGGCACGUGAUCCAGGGGACCAGCACACCUGACCGCUCCUGGCAGGGGAGGAGCUUCUCCAAGGCCACAGGAGUCAUCCUGGAUGGGAUGCUGGGAGCCUCCUGGCUGGCACGCAUUUGAACUUGUGUCCACACAGAAAUUCGAACAGUGGAGAGUGAAUGCUUUCGUCACCUGCAACAAGUCCAGUUCCUUUCAUUUGGGGAUUGGUCUCAGGCCCUUUCUGGGGUUAAUAAGCUAUGCGUUCUGAUGUGGUUGAUGGAGAGAAAGUUGCAGACCCUGGAAGCUUGGAUUUCAAGCCCCCAGCACAGAAGGAAACCCCAGGAUGAGGACAAAGGGGACCAGAGAAGAGGCCUUUCUAUAAAGCCCAGGAUGACAGUGGUUUUCCCGAAGAGCUCCAGAGGGGGACCUGGGAUCUGAGUGUUGGCACCACUGCCAGUCCGGGAGAGGGCUGUGUGUGUGUGUGUGUGUGUGUGUGUGUGUGUGUAUUCAGUGAUUGACCUGGGGUCAGACAUACCACGAGGCCUCUUGAUCCAUAUUCAUAUUCCUUCUUUUUGAAACACCCUUUAAAAGAGUAUCUAUUUUUUUAAUGAGGACUAAUUGGUGGUAAACUCAUUUAUUAUUUGUCUGGAAGUAGCUUCAUUGUGUCAUUUUUCUUGCUAGAUAGUUUCGAUCGGUAUACAAUUCUGUAUUAACUGUUCAUUUUCUCUCAACACUUUGAGGACAGCAUUCAACUGUCUUCCUGCUGCCAUUGCUAUCCAGAAGUCAGCUGUCAGUCUACUGGUAAAAUCAUCUCUAAUGUUGGCAUUUCCUCAGAUUCAUUACAACGUGUCUGUGUGUGAAUUCCUCUUAUUUAUAUUUCUUUGAAUGAGAUGUGUUUCUGGAUCUGUGCAUUCAUUUUAUUUAUCAGUUCUGGAAUAUUCUAAGAUAUUAACACAUUGAUUCUUAUUCUUUUUCCUGCUCUCUAUUUCCCUCUUAGGGGCUGUGAUUUGAUUGCGUUAGGCUUUCUUAUGCUGUCCUCACAGUGUCUUGACACAUCUGUCAUAUAUUGAAUCACCCUGUUUCCUUGUUCUGCAUUCUGUGUAACUUUUUUUGGCCUGAAACUUUCAGCGCAGUAAUUCAUCUUUAGUCAUUCACUCUGCUGUUUAAACCCACCUACUGAAUGUUUAUUUCAGAAACAUUAUUUGUUAUUUCUAAAAGCUCAAUGUUUUUCCCAAUACUACCAGCUCCU